rnacentral:rRNA from 1 species
GAUCCUGGCUCAGAUUGAACGCUGGCGGCAUGCCUUACACAUGCAAGUCGAACGGCAGCACGGGAGCUUGCUCCUGGUGGCGAGUGGCGAACGGGUGAGUAAUACAUCGGAACGUACCCUGAAGUGGGGGAUAACGUAGCGAAAGUUACGCUAAUACCGCAUAUUCUGUGAGCAGGAAAGAGGGGGAUCGCAAGACCUCUUGCUUUAGGAGCGGCCGAUGUCGGAUUAGCUAGUUGGUGAGGUAAAGGCUCACCAAGGCGACGAUCCGUAGCGGGUCUGAGAGGAUGAUCCGCCACACCUGGGACUGAGUACACGGCCCAGACUCCGUACGGGAGGCAGCAGGUGGGAAUUUGGACAAUGGGCGACAAGCCUGAUCCAGCCAUGCCGCGUGAGUGAAGAACGGCCUUCGGGUUGUAAAGCUCUUUCGGUGGGGAAGAAAUUGCACAGGAUAAUACCUUGUGUAGAUGACGGUACCCGCAUAAGAAGCACCGGCUAACUACGUG